UACGGAGGAUUCAAGCGUUAUCCGGAUUUAUUGGGUUUAAAGGGUGCGCAGGCGGCGUGUCAAGCAAGCGGUAAAAUAGCGGGGCUCAACCCCGUCGAGCCGUUUGAACUGGCGCGCUUGAGUUCAGGCGAGGUAGGCGGAAUUCGUGGUGUAGCGGUGAAAUGCAUAGAUAUCACGGAGAACUCCGAUUGCGAAGGCAGCCUGCUGGACUGUAACUGACGUUGAGGCUCGAAAGCGUGGGGAGCAAACAGG
rnacentral:rRNA from 1 species